CAGGCAGCCACACCACCAGCACCAUGCUAAGCUGCCAAGCCUGAGUCUCACUGGUACAAACCAGUUUUCAUUUAGUUUUCAGCUUUCAUAAAAGCAUUAUGUCAGACUUUUGCACACUGCUCAGGGGAACAGGAAACUAUUGCAACAUUUAUCUCACAGCAAAAGCAGUGAGCAAAAUCGACCACCCAUCUCAGGAUGUGAGCAGCAACCCCAGAAGGCUCCCACAGGAGCAAGUAACUCCUCUUGAAUGCCAGAAAUAUUAAAGAAGGAUGAACAAUCACCUGCAAGGCCUCUCUCAUACGUUCCCUGUCCACCAGGUUGUGCAGAGGCCUCUCCCUGCCUGAAGGCACAUGCAAGCUGCUGACGGCGGCAUGGUUACAUGCAGACUCAGGCCCCACUGAGUUGGGUUGAGGCUCUGCUCAGAAGUAUUUUGUGACAGCCAGGGGAAUAUUUGUCCCUGCUUGGCACCUUCUCACUGCAACACUGCUCCUGCUCCCUCUGGGCUGCAGUUUCAGCAGUUCCCAGCUGUGAAAGGCUGUACCUGUUUUGUUUUGUUUGCCGUUUAUUGCAUGUGCUUUUGCAAAGGUGUAGCUUGGCAGCAGAGGAGGCCGCAGGCUAGUCUUGUCCUUGCGGGAAGGACAGGCCAAUUCUAAAAGAGCCCUUCUCAAAGAACCUUUUGGAGGAGUGUGUGGAUGGUGGGGGGAGAGGUGCAAGCAAAUGACCAAGCGAGGAGUGAGCCCUCUGGGAUAGCAAAGCUUGCCAGUGCAUGGGAGACCAGAGAAAGCAGCCAGGAACCUCAGAGGGGAGCGGAGACGGACACGGAGCCCGGCUGGGGCGGCACCAAGUCUGCUGCAAGCCAGCCAGCCCCUGAGCUGGUGAACUGGAACAAGCCUGGGAGAAAAGACGUGACCGCGGAGGCAGGUCUGACUCUUGCAAAGCCAAUAUACAAUUGCCAUUGCUCUGGAAACCACUAUAUCCCACCAUCAAUUUUCUUAUGCAUCAGUAAACAAUAGUGUUAUCACAGAAGUUACAAUGAGGCAGGUGAAAAUGAGCACCUUCCUAACAGAGGCUCCUCAAAUGAAAUUUAAGAGGCAAAAUAAUCUGCAUUCAAAGUUUAUAUGGGAUUGAAGGAAACGGAAAGGAAGCAAGAAGCAACAUAAAAGGAACCUGAAGAGGGAAGACCAGGAAUUUCAAUUGGGUGAGCAAAAUGGGACAUGUUCAGUCCUUGACUGGAAUUCGGCAUUCCUCUCCAGGUAAUGUUCUCUGAUAUUAUUGCCUGAGGCUGUCUUACAUGGGAUUUAUUCGAUACCUAAGAAUUUCAUCAUGCUACCAUAGUAAACUACAGUUUACCUGACAGCUAAGAGUCAUCCCCUCAUUUUGUUUUUGCUUUUUAUUUAAAUUUUCUUAGUUUGAACCUUCAUUUUUAAAAAAAUGUUAUUAUUUGGAUAUACUAUAUCUAGUAUUACUAAAUCUAGCUAAUAUGUUUUUCCACAGUGGAACUCCCCAUUAAAUGAGAUGAAGAAUAUAUGAUUUCCCAUUUUCCACCAACGGAUUUCCUGAUUACCUGGUGACUCCAGAUGCACAAGUGAAAGCAAAAACUAGGAGCAUUUUAUUUUGGGCACGAGGCCAGUGUGCUUUCCCAAAUUUAGACAGUAAUGUUUUUGGCCUUGUUAGAUUCUAUCCUGUUGUUAUUGCAGCCAGAGGACUGGUGGUAAGAUUUGUCAAAGCUGCCUAGGUAUGUGCAUCAUAAGAGGAAGAUUUAGACACAGUGAGAAUUAGAAUUAAUGAAGGUACUACUGAUUUUGUCCAGAGUUUUUCUUGCUGAAGGUACUGCUGUAUCUUGUCUUACCUGAUGCAUCUAGGCUGGGGCAAUCCCAAGCACAGAUAGAGGUUGUGUGGAGAAUGGCUUGAGAGCUGCCUUGAGGAGAAGGGUUUGAGAGUGUCAGUUGAUGAAAUAUUCAACAUGAGCCAGCAAUGUGCACUUGCAGCCCAGAAGGCCAACCAUAUCCUGAGUUGCAUCAAGAGAAGCAUGACUAGCAGGUCGAGGGAG
ensembl:lncRNA